CUGACUUUAUGGGUCCAAUGAAAAAUGGCCUGCCUGCCUUUGAAAUCCGUUUGUGUGAUGUUGGACAGAGAUCGCCAUUCUUUCGGUUUUUAGUUUAUGCAUUUUAUACUACCAGUCUAUAAAUGCCGUACUUUUAUUAGACUUGAGACGUUUAGUGAUUAAUAAAGUGGGUGGAGACGCGGAAGAAGCUAAUUAUGGAACUUCCUAGAAGCAUCGCGUUGUACGGUGAAUUAAUGUGAAGAAGUAGUUUAUUGAGACGUGGUUGCGUGUUAAUUUAAAUACGAUAUAUCAUAAAAUACCUUCUUGAGUUGAGCUUUGUUCAUUACAUUUUCCAAACUACACACCUCGUUGCAGUAUGUAAUGUAGGUAAAAUUUAUAAUUAGGUAGCCACCUCAGAAUGCAGAAAAAGGUUAUCCUGUAUUCUGAGGACAUCAGGAGUCAUUAACACUACCGUUCCCUAACUUCGUAUUCGUGAACGGGUUUGAUAAGCCCAGUCAACAUAUCAAUCAUAGUACACAGGCAGUGAGCGAUACCAAGGGAUUUGUUAAUGUAAAACGAUGUAUCCGCAUUGCCGCAUGCCGACCCGUGCGUUUCGACGUCCAAUCUGAAUUACAAUGGACUGUGUGUAUACUGUAUUUACAGACUCCAAGUGGCCGGCCUGUCCCUUCGGUCGGAGCGUCCGUAUCCGUACGGAAUAAGAAACAGUGUUACUGUUAACUGUAUUGUUCGACGACAUACAAAACAAUGUAUUUUUGCCCAAUAUGGAUGCGCGAUUAUGUCAACGUAUGUGUUCUGUUUUUAAAUAAUGACCAACGUCGUGGACGCAUCAAAACUCGCCGCGAAGCACCCGCAAGCUAUCAGCAUUUUAAGUGAGAAGGGUAAUGGUUUAUUUAUGAGCACACCAAGUAGCUGAUGAAAUUAGUAAUUUAUAGUAGGUAUUAGUAAUUACAGUACAUCUAUGAAUAGUAUUAAGUGCCAUGUUAUGUAUAUUAAUUUUAUAAAAAAAAACCUAUUGACAUCAUUAUUUCUAAUUAUGUCAUCGCCUAAAUAAGUAGGUAAGUAUGAAUACCACCCGAGUCUCGGAGAAUUGUGUCUCGUGAAUUAAGAACAGUGCGCAAUAAACUUAAUAUUGUGUAGGCAAAUACCUAAGCGAAGUAAGCGAAGAUUUUGUACUUAACAAUGGCUCAGUAUUCCCAAUUAUAAACAUUAAUUUCUACAGUAAGUUACCUACGGAGAGAACCUAUAUAGAAAUACAGCAAAUACGGGUACUAAUUUCCGUAUAAAGUAAGAAAACCGUUAUUUUUAUUUCUCACUAUUUAUUGCAUCUUGUUUAAGAUAUUAAGUAAAAUAUAUGUACUUCCGCUGUAUAACAGCUAUGUUUGUACAGAAGCGCGUAAUACACAACCGGCUUCGCACUUUCAUUUUUGAUAGGGCUCAGGGCUUGUCUCCAGCUUCGUACAUUGGGUAACUGCGAGAGGCGUAUCGCAAUCAGCACUUGAUGUAAUCACACUGCAACCUUCUCGCUGAUGCAAGACCCGACGGGGUGUUAUUGCGGCUUUUUCACUUCCUACACACUCUUGCCAAUAGUAACACUUUUCUAGGGAAAAAAAUGUUUUUGCUCAAUUUAAACUAAAUAAUAAUUGUCGGACGACAGCCCUGGUUAGAGCAAAAAAAUCACUCCUCGUUUUGAAUACAGACUUGAGUUUGAAGUGUCAAUUUUAUUGGACUAUUAAAUUAUAACCCAUACACGAUCGCUAAGUUUUUACGGAAUCUUCGAGCAUUGUCGCUCAUUUUGGCGUCGCUGGUAGAGUAUAACUUGAUUGACAUUCAACAUGCGUGCUUGAUGACAUUUAAGUAGCAAUUUGAUUUAAAUUUGAACUUAAAUUUCUUGCAAGCUUGAAACAUACCUUACAAUAUAAAAAAAUAUUGAAGUCUUUGAGCACUUUAGACAUAGUUGUAAUAAGGUCUAUUUUACAUUUUUAUUAGUCAAUUUGACGACGCCUUUAUGAAGGAUAUUCGGUUCGAUACGAUUUACUGGUGGUAGGACCUCUUGUGAGUCCGCGCGGGUAGGUCCCACCACCCUGCCUAUUUCUGCCGUGAAGCCUAAUGCGUUUCGGUUUGAAGGAUGGGGCAGCCGUUGUAACUAUACUUGAGAUCUUAGAACUUAUAUCUCAAGGUGGGUGGCACAUUUACGUUGUGGAUGUCUAUGAACUCCAGUAACCACUUAACACCAGGUGGGCUGUGAGCUCGUCCACCCAUCUUAGCAAUAAAAAAAAAACCAAGCGUAUUUUGUACAUAGAUACCAACUUUUUACACGUACUUAUCUAGAUUGAUAAAAUUAUACCGUUCUGUUUAUUUUAAUUAAAUUCCGGUUAAAGAAUUAUGAUAACUGACCCCUUUGUUUUAAGAUCCACAGUAGAAUUAUAAAUAUGACUUUUGGCGGGAACGCGAAGAGCGAAGUUGUCUGAAUUGUUUUAGUUUGUUUAGUUUUUCUUCAAAUGUGUCUUCUUGUUUAAAUGUGUCGUAAUGGUGGUUUAUUAACUGUUUAGUAUCUGUGAAAGGCAUAAAUGUGGGAAAAUGAAACAAAGCCGCUGGACGUAACUUCUCGUCUUCCAAAAACUCCACUGAAAAGUCUCAGUAAAUAACUACCAUUUUACUGAGAUUAUAUUUCAUCCCAUAUCAUCUUAUCUGAUUUCAUUUAAUUUCAUGCCAAUUGAUUAAUUUUUCAAUUUGAUUAAUUUCAUUUCGUUUCACUCCAUAUUAUCAUUUUUCAUAAAAAAAGAAUAUAAAAGAUUAGGUUUAUGGUAUGGUACCUUUGGCUUUCCAGUUGGAAAAAUAGAACUAGGUACUACUAUAAUAAUGACAAGAGUUGAAAAAGGUCAUUGUCAAUUAAAAACUAUAAAAACAAGCUGACAUUAUUAAAUCGGCUGUACUCCGCUGAUAUAUUAAGUGUAUAAUCUACGCUCCGCUGUACCGUACUAGUUGGUAAAGUUGAAACGUUUAGAGUUCCGGUGAGUUCAUGGAAAUGUCCAUUUUCACGGUAUGUAUGCGGCAUCGCACUGGCGCACGUGGCCUACAGGCAGAGGGACAAGGGGACGGCUUGAGGCGAGAGGGACCGAGGUCGAGCAGGAGUCGGUGACCGCACAUGCGUCGUCUUGCAUAAGGAGCCGCCUGUCUUUGUAUUCCAGUAAGGUCGCUGGUUCCCCUGACGAGUAUGGUGCGAAACUAUUCUUGUUGACAAUUCUCGCGUACCUGUUAACAAUUGUUAUAUUUUUGUCAUUGAAAUAAUAAUGAGCACACACAUGAUAAUUUUAAGUUCUGGGAUAGUGUACAGUUUAAGGUGUUUUUAUAUCAAUUAAUACUUCUGCAUGACAGUAAGAAGUUUCGACAAAUGGAUUUCAGUUUUGGUAGACUAAUACUAUUCAAAAUUCAGCUUUUAAAUGUUAUGGACCAGUGGUAGUAAAACACCCGGUGUACCCCCCGGUCAAAUGAGAUGAGAUAUCCCGCAAGCAGGCAGCUUAUUCACUUGGAGUAAGAAUUAAAACUCUUAUAUCGCGCGGAGACCUGGACCAUGAAGAAAGCCGAUCGUGACCGAAUUGAUGCAUUUGAGAUGUGGCGCUGGCGAGAGAUGCCAGGAAUUCCCUGGACAGCACGUCGCACCAACGUGUUGAUUCUCCAAGAACUCCAGAUAAAGACGAGGCUUUCUAACAUCUGCCUAAGUUCUGGAAUUUCUGGAAUACUUUGGCCACACUGCAAGAAAGGAUAACCUAGAUAACGAAAAAUAUUAAAAUUUAAAUUCUUUAAAUAUCUUUGAAAACAGUUAAAAUAUAUUUGACUUUACCAUUAAAAAAAAUGUUCAACAAACCAACAACCAAUUCCCGUCAGGAAAUUCCUAUCGCAAAGUUUUAUUCGGAAAUUCUUACACGAACUAAAUUUAUAACCUUUUUAUUGUUCUGUCGAUGCGGUCACUACGAUGAGUAACUAAAUAGUGGUUGAUACAACCGUGACGUUCGUAGUUUAUUGAUAUCAGUACAAUGUAAGAGGCAAUAAAAUUCAAAUUAAUUCACUAUGGAACCUAAAGAAUGCGAUAACUUCCUUGCUUGUAAGAAUUAUUAUUUGAACUAUUAACAAUGCGUACACAAGGGUCAAUACACCGCAAAUUAUAAUGUACAUUAAAAUAUGUCUCGUAUUUAAAUUAUGUUACAAAUUAAGGACAGUCGAAAAUAUGACGAUCCAAAUAAAAAUGGAUAUGAACGUUGCCUAGCUACUUUGGUGCUCCAUUAUUCACAUUUGAUUUAUGUAUUAAUGUCGCUUAAGCACAUGUACAAUGGAGUUGAAUUUAAUAAAAAAACAUGAUAGCUAGCAUAGCGCUGAGUCAUUGUAAACAAAAACUACCGUGGCUCCCUAAGGUGGUAGUUAUUACGAGCAAGCAUAAUCUUAAGCUUGGAAACAAAAAUAAGAAAUGAGGAUGAAGCUCUAUUUUAUUGUAAUUGUCUAACUAAGUCAGAAAGCAAUUGGAUAUAGUACGAUGCUCAGUUGGCUUAAAAAUACCCGUCAGGUUUGAGCCCCGUGAGCUCACCUACUAGUUAAAGUUACGCUGACAUGGUCUCUCUAGAGUUCUAGACCAUCAGCUUAGGUAGGUUAAAAACUUAAAAAUGUGGGAAUAAAACUAGCGCUAUGUGGGCUCGGGGUGCAUGCCGAAUCUCUUCGUUCCUAACGCGGGCGUUAAAACGAAUUUUGUUCAUGCAUUGUGCGUGUGUCACAAACAUUUAUAUACGCAGAACAUAAAACUAAUUUGUGAAUUCUUUAAAUAUUACAAGAUUUCGCUGACGGGCCAUAUUCACUUUACCUGUCCAUUUGGACAUCAGCUGCAUAAACAAUUUAGAAGUGAAUUUAUUAGUAAGAAAUCAAGAGUAAACAAUUAAAAGUAAAAAUAAUUAUAAUUUUUCAAUUAAAAACUGAAAUUGCAGUGAUUUAACGCAAUUUAGUGGUUUUACUGGUGGUGGGACCUCUUGUGAAUCCGCGCGGGUAGGUACCACCACCCUGCCUAUUUUUGCCGUGAAGCAGUAAUGCGUUUCGGUUUGAAGGGCAGGGCAGCCGUUGUAACUAUAGUUGAGACCUUUGAACUUAUAUCUCAAGGUGGGUGGCGCAUUUACGUUGUAGAUGUCUAUGUGCUCCAGUAACCACUUAACACCAGGUGGGCGGUGAGCUCGUCCACCCAUCUAAGCAAUAAAUAAAAAAUUUGGCGGUCGAACAUAUUUAUCUAUACUAAUAUAUAAAUCUACGGUGGUUUUGACGGAUCUUCCGUUAUAACUACUGAACCAUGCAUCCGAUUGACUUGAAACUUGGUAUCCAUAUAGAAAAUACAUGUACCUACCUACUUAAUGGAUAGGCUAAUAUUUAUAUGAGUGUUGGACUCCCUAAUAAUAAUGACAAUAAAUAAUAAUGUUAAUUUUAAAUGCCCAGCGAAGCGGGCGAGUACGGCUAGUCUUUAACAUGUUUUCUAGAUAUUGUUAUAACGUCAGAUGCUUUAAUUGCAAGUUAGGUUGGUAUUACCAUUUUUUUCUUUUUCUUUUUUAUGAUUCAAAGUUUUUUUGUGGAAUGAGAUUGAUCGCAUAUCAAUAAUAUGCUUAUUCUUAUUGUUUAAAAAAAUGUAAGGACGAAUCUCUAUUAUAUAGGUAUCCCUAAAAUGACAUUACUCGUGUUGGAGGUAGAUUAUGAUUGUGAAACCACAUAGCUCUUUUGCUUAACAAGGUUCAAGAAAGUAACUCUAGUAGCUUUUGAAAAAUCAUACGAGGAAAAUAAUGUAAAUUAUAAAAUCCGGUUAAAGUAAAUGGCGGUAGGAACGUCCAUGCGCACUUAGAAUACUCCUUAGGAAUAUAAACGACGAUAUUUGGCGGUGACUCGAGUUACAAACUGAAGUUAAUUUAUUACGCUCGUGUACAUGGCAACAUUACACACCUACGUAUCAUCACGUAGAUGCCAUGUGAAAAUUGCUUUACAGCCAUUGAUACUCAGAAUGUUGUCGUAAUGCUUCCGGUCACAUAGACGUGUUAUUUCUUCGAAAAAUGCCUUACGAUUUUGUCGUGAUUUAUGAUGACGACCUCUUCGAUAAAAAGGUGUGCCUUCAAAAAUUUUGUGAUUUAGAAUAAUAACUGCUAUUGACAUUCAGCGCUCGCCAGAGUUAAACAAAUUAGAGAUAUUUUGCAGUUAUUUGGGAAUUUGAUAAUUACAUUCAGAAUAACAUUUCGUUUAUCCUAUGAAACUUCUUACGAGACCGUCAUUAAAUUAAUCUGUAAUCUCAAAAUAUGUAAUAAAUUUUGUUUUGAAUUAAAAUUUAAUUUAAAGGACAAAAA